CACAAAGCAAAAGAAGUUUUGUUUAACGGGCCGGAGCAAUCAGAGGGAUCAGAGCUCAGGUUGCGGACGUGUCAGCUUUUCCACCACCGAUCCUGUUCCCCUCAGCCAUCCUGCAUUUAUUUUUAAAAGGUCAUUAAGCAAGACACAAAAGGGGAGGGAAGUGCGUGAACUCUGACCACCCAAAGCAGCUUGUGACCCACCUGGGGACAUCUCUGUGCUGUCACCACGAGUUCUAAAUGCGCUGAUAAAAGCUGGGUGAGGUUCAGUCAUCAGGUGUGUCUGAAAUGACCCUAAAUAGAAAUAAAACCUUUAUUUUGCCACAAGUUUUCCUCAUUGGUUCUCUAUGCUCACAACUCCCAGCGAAAUUUAAUUUCUAUCAAAUCCAGAAUCAUCCUUAAUCUAUUUUCUCCUUUGUGACUCAUUUUGCUGAAGGGACCUUAUCAAACAUUGCUUUUCAUUUUCACAAACAGGAAAUCUUUUACACACGAUCGAGGAAGCCAGAGGCUUGUCCCAAACAAAAGGCACAAUCUCCCCAGCUCCUGACAGGUUUUUAUUUUCCUGAAACGAUAAAUCAGCAAGCAUGGAUGACUACAUUUUACUCACUUCUUGCUUCAAUUUACUGGACCUGAGGGAAAAAGGGUAACAAAAGGUAUAAUUAAUAUAAUUAAUAUCUACGUGGAUGCUCUGGGCCCUGGGCCAGCGGCUGUGCCUGGAGCCCAGCACGUUCUCAGGACAUGAUCACAGAUAAAUCUGGGAUAUUUUGCUAUUUAGAUAUAGAGAAAAGCAGGGAUAGAGCCUCCUGUGCCAGCCCAGAGGAGGGCAGGGAGCAGGGCUGGAACAGCAGCUCCAGAAAGGAUUCAAUUUUUGGAUCAGGAUGGCAAAUGCCUUUGGAUUUGGGAUGUAGGGAAGGGACAGUGGUCCCUCCAGGGAGAAGCACCAAAAGCCACCCCAGGUUUGCAGCAGUCUGGCUGACCCACCCCAAAAGCAGGACAGUGCUCCAGCACCCCACACACACCAAGGGAGCAGGGAAAACCCCAGCACAGCCCAUUUCCCACUGCUCCCACCCCAAAAAGUGCAGUGAAACAAUGGGGUUUCUGCUCAUUUCUGAGCCCUCCUGCGAGACCCACACACUUCUGACCUGGGAAGUCAAAGGGAUCCAGCAGGCUGGGCAGGGAUGUGACACCUUCAUCUCUUUCCUGUCCCCUGUUGAAUGA
rnacentral:lncRNA from 1 species